rnacentral:rRNA from 1 species
AGUCGUAACAAGGUCUCCGUAGGUGAACCUGCGGAGGGAUCAUUACACAAAUAUGAAGGCGGGCUGGAACCUCUCGGGGUUACAGCCUUGCUGAAUUAUUCACCCUUGUCUUUUGCGUACUUCUUGUUUCCUUGGUGGGUUCGCCCACCACUAGGACAAACAUAAACCUUUUGUAAUUGCAAUCAGCGUCAGUAACAAAUUAAUAAUUACAACUUUCAACAACGGAUCUCUUGGUUCUGGCAUCGAUGAAGAACGCAGCGAAAUGCGAUAAGUAGUGUGAAUUGCAGAAUUCAGUGAAUCAUCGAAUCUUUGAACGCACAUUGCGCCCUUUGGUAUUCCAAAGGGCAUGCCUGUUCGAGCGUCAUUUGUACCCUCAAGCUUUGCUUGGUGUUGGGCGUCUUGUCUCUAGCUUUGCUGGAGACUCGCCUUAAAGUAAUUGGCAGCCGGCCUACUGGUUUCGGAGCGCAGCACAAGUCGCACUCUCUAUCAGCAAAGGUCUAGCAUCCAUUAAGCCUUUUUUUUCAACUUUUGACCUCGGAUCAGGUAGGGAUACCCGCUGAACUUAAGCAUAUCAAAAGUCG